CUGAUGGAUAGAAACUCUCUGUGUGUGUGUGUGUGUGUGUGUGUGUGUGUGUGUGUGUGUGUGUGUGUGUGUGUGUGUGUGUGUGUGUGUGUGUGUGUGUGUGUGUGUGUGUGUGUGUGUGUGUGUGUGUGUGUGUGUGUGUGAGAUUGAAAAAGGUAGAGGAGGAGAGAGGGCAGAGGGAGGGAGAGAGGGCAGAGGGAGGGAGAGAGGGCAAAGGGAGGGAGAGAGAGAAGAGGGAGGGAGAGAGGGACGAGGGAGGGAGAGAGGGCAGAGGGAGGGAGAUAGAGAGAGAGAGAAGGAGGGUGGAUCGUUGGGGAGUUUCCAGUAAAAAAGAUUCAGCUCCCUAACAGAAUACAGUGUCCUUCACUGAGGGACUCUCAGGGAUUAUUAUGGGGAAAUGGAGAUUGUAAUACUUGUUUCAUUAUUGUCUCUGUAUUGUGACUUCACCGAUGCUGAGUGCCUGGUGAUCAGUCCUGCCAGGCUGGUGGUGAAGUAUGGAGACCCAGCCUCCUCUAACUGCAGCUCAGAUACCCCUGUACAAAUGGGCUGGGAAGCCACCCAGGGAGGGACGGAUCUAACAGACAAGGAGGUGAAGUUCCUACACUGGAGGGUGGACAGGUAAGCGAGGCAGACACAGCUGAGACUUUUAAAACCCACCUUCUUAGCCUUUAAAGUGGCAAACAGUGGCAGCUGGCUACUUUGUUGAUGUUUGAACUUAAACUGUGAUAUUGCCUUUAUUUGUUAUUUGAAAUGCACUUUAAAUCAAGUUGUUUAUUGUUUCAACUAAGGAUUGCCACUUUAAAUAUUUCAUUUGAUUUGACUGACUGGAAUAACAAACCAACAUGCAUCACAGAGGGAGGCCAGUGUCAGAAACAGCUGAACAUCACAGUUUAUAAUGAGUGACAUCUCUCUCUCUUAUCUUCACUGGUGUUUCUGAAUGUAUUCCUAGUAUGGCUCUGCACUGUUAAAUCACUUUGUGUGUGUGUGUGUUUCUAUUCCUCCACAGAGCUUCCAGACAGUGUGUCCAUGACAGGCCCCUCAGGUCCGAUGGUUGAGGGGAAAGAGUACGAGUUUAAGUGUCUCAUCCAGAAGGUCGCUCCAGGUAACAGUCUCAAUGUGUCCUUCUACAAAGCCUCUGCCAUCGGUAGAAAGACAAAGACAUUGUUAUAUGCACCAGAUGUACCAAGGCAGACCACCAAGGAACCUAUUAGUGGGGAAUAUCCCCUGCUGUGGUCCCCCAGUAGAG
rnacentral:lncRNA from 8 species